rnacentral:rRNA from 1 species
UACGAAGGGUGCAAGCGUUACUCGGAAUUACUGGGCGUAAAGCGUGCGUAGGUGGUUUGUUAAGUCUGUUGUGAAAGCCCCGGGCUCAACCUGGGAAUGGCAAUGGAUACUGGCAGGCUAGAGUGCGGUAGAGGGUAGUGGAAUUCCCGGUGUAGCGGUGAAAUGCGUAGAGAUCAGGAGGAACACCCAUGGCGAAGGCAGCUAACUGGGCAUUAUCUGACGCUGAGGCGCGAAAGCGU